UCCAAUAAUUAAAAAAAAAAUAAAGAUUUUGUGGGAAAAAGCAAAAGAUUAUGCUGUGAUAGUUGCCUGUCUUGGAAGUUAUGGAAGACUGAGCAUUCAGAAUAGUUGUCAGUAGAUGAUUGAAUGAUUAUAUAUUGAAAAAAAUUGCCCCUGUUACUGUUCAAAGGCACAAAGAAUUUCUUUGCCGACAUUUUGUUUUACAAUCUUUAACCCUUACUUGGAAUAGUUCAGGAUUAACAUGAAAGGAAGGCAGCAAGCUUAUCAAGUUUGUUUUCAGUGCAAAUUUAUGUGGCCUUGUUUGAAAGUUGAACCUGUGACUGGUCUGUGUUGGGAUUAACAUGAAAGGAAGGCAGCAAGCUUACCAAGUUGUUUUUCACAGUGCAAAUUUCAUUCUUGCUCCUGCGUUUGCUGCCGAUCAUCUUCAUGCCGAAAACCCUGCAUAAUUAUAAAGGAUGCAACACUUACCAAGACCACCGCAAAGACAGAAGGCAGGAAUUGCAGGUCAUUAAAUUGCAAGUGGAGAAGAAGAUGCAAUGCCAAAUUUAGAGAAUUGAAGCAGCCGCUGCGAGGAGAUUGACUUUGGUCCAUGCUGUGGUUAGUUUUCCAGAAGAGCCAUCCAUGGAAUGAUGGCACAGUGGAUAGACAUAGAGUAUUAAUAUAUUCAAAAGAAGGUCGUUAGAAUUAGUGCAGCUGUGAACAGCGUGCUCAAUAAGCCCAUAGCUUCAACACUUCCCAUGCCCAGAGGUCAAGGUUUCUAAUUCCAGUGACAUCAAUCAGAAAAGGGGAAAUUCUGUGAAGAUUGAAGUGCUCCUCAAGGUAUGCAUGUCUGGUGUAUGUCUAAGCAUACCCACGCAUAUUUGUUGUUAGCUAUGAAACUACCCAUGCCCAGUUUA